ensembl:snRNA U6 U6 spliceosomal RNA
GUGCUCGCUUCGGCAGCACAUAUACUAAAAUUGGAAUGAUACAGAGAAGAUUAGCAUGGCCCCUGCGCUUUGUGAAGCGUUCCAUAUUUUU